rnacentral:misc_RNA from 1 species
UAAGUACUCACCCUCCGCAUUAGCAGUGCGUCACAGUUUGAUGUUAGCAUGUGAAAAGUCAUUUUCGUGCAUAACUGCCCGAUACUGUUAAAAGAUUUUGGUUACCUGACAAAUGCUCCAGGAUGGUUGCAAGUGUGUGUAUAUAUAUAUACGGUUAACAAAUUUUGAAGAGAACUUUUAUAAGACAUUUUCAGAUUCCAUUAAACUCUCAGAUGUGGAUUAUAUAUUUCAUUAUACUGCACACUGAUCUAUCAUUUCCCUACAGUGUGCAACUUCUG